rnacentral:rRNA from 1 species
AGCGAACGCUGGCGGCAGGCCUAACACAUGCAAGUCGAACGAACCCUUCGGGGUUAGUGGCGGACGGGUGAGUAACACGUAGGAACGUGCCUUUAGGUUCGGAAUAACUCAGGGAACCUUGUGCUAAUACCGAAUGUGCCCUUCGGGGGAAAGAUUUAUCGCCUUUAGAGCGGCCCGCGUCUGAUUAGCUAGUUGGUGAGGUAAUGGCUCACCAAGGCUACGAUCAGUAGCUGGUCUGAGAGGAUGACCAGCCACAUUGGGACUGAGACACGGCCCAAACUCCUACGGGAGGCAGCAGUGGGGAAUCUUGCGCAAUGGGCGAAAGCCUGACGCAGCCAUGCCGCGUGGAUGAUGAAGGUCUUAGGAUUGUAAAAUCCUUUCACCGGUGAAGAUAAUGACUGUAGCCGGAGAAGAAGCCCCGGCUAACUUCGUGCCAGCAGCCGCCGUAAAAC